rnacentral:piRNA from 1 species
UGGGAUCGACAGGAUCAGGUGUUGACG